UACGGGGGGGGGUAAGCGUUGUUCGGAAUUACUGGGCGUAAAGGGCUCGUAGGCGGCCAACUAAGUCGGACGUGAAAUCCCUCAGCUUAACUGGGGAACUGCGUCCGAUACUGGAUGGCUUGGAUUUGGGAGAGGGAUGCGGAAUUCCAGGUGUAGCGGUGAAAUGCGUAGAUAUCUGGAGGAACACCUGCGGCGAAGGCGGGUUGCUGGGCCGACACUGACGCUGAGGCGCGAAAGCCAGGGGAGCGAACGGG
rnacentral:rRNA from 1 species